rnacentral:rRNA from 1 species
AGGUGGAGCAAAUCUCCAAAAAACGUACUCAGUUCGGAUUGUAGGCUGCAACCCGCCUGCAUGAAGUCGGAAUUGCUAGUAAUCGUAGAUCAGCAUGCUACGGUGAAUACGUUCCCGGGCCUUGUACACACCGCCCGUCAAACCAUGAGAGUUGGCAACACCCGAAGCCUGUAGCUUAACCGCAAGGACGGCGCAGUCGAAGGUGGGGUCGAUGAUUAGGGUUAAGUCGUAACAAGGUAAC